rnacentral:lncRNA from 1 species
GAAGUUCCUGAGAUCAAUCUGGACCUCAGCAGUGUCGAAGACCAAGAUCAUAGCCGCGGCCACCAUCAGGAGCAGAGUGCUCAGCCUCAGAACCAGGACCAUGAUCCUCGACGAUUCGCUCUGCGAAGAGGUAGAAGAAGAAGCCAUUGUUUUGACUGAUUUCUUUCGAAUUUUCGAAAUGUUGUUGCUUGGUGUGUGAUUAGAUUGCUGAUGAAUUUCUGUUUAUAUAUAGGAUCAUCAGACGUUUUGCCGGACGGAUGUCAAGCUGUCGGUUUGGUGUACAUUAGUUUCUCAGUAACAUAGGACAGUUCAGCAGUUGUAUGAUCAUAUGCCUUGUUGUGUUUUGGGUACUUUGGUAGUACAGUGAGGAAUUAUACUUUCCGGUUAAUUACUUAAUUCCUAUGGGUACGCGUAAUGGCGGAUUCAGGAUUGAAACAUGUAUUAAGUCGGAUUUGAAUUGAUAUUUAUAUAUCGAGUAAACAAUUUAUGAAUACAUUUUAAAAAAUGUAAUAUUAAGUUAAAAUACAAAAAUAACAUGUGUU